AUUGAACGCUGGCGGCAUGCCUUACACAUGCAAGUCGAACGGCAACACGGGAGCUUGCUCCUGGUGGCGAGUGGCGAACGGGUGAGUAAAGCAUCGGAACGUGCCCUGAAGUGGGGGGAUAACGUAGCGAAAGUUACGCUAAUACCGCAUAUUCUGUGAGCAGGAAAGCAGGGGAUCUUCGGACCUUGUGCUUUAGGAGCGGCCGAUGUCGGAUUAGCUAGUUGGUGAGGUAAAGGCUCACCAAGGCGACGAUCCGUAGCGGGUCUGAGAGGAUGAUCCGCCACACUGGGACUGAGACACGGCCCAGACUCCUACGGGAGGCAGCAGUGGGGAAUUUUGGACAAUGGGCGCAAGCCUGAUCCAGCCAUGCCGCGUGAGUGAAGAAGCCUGGUGUAAGNUCUUGUCGGGAGAAGUAGUCAUCUCUAAUACAGGUGUAGA
rnacentral:rRNA from 1 species